rnacentral:rRNA from 1 species
GACGUAGGGCGCGAGCGUUGUCCGGAUUAUUGGGCGUAAAGAGCUCGUAGGCGGCUUGUCGCGUCGUCCGUGAAAACCUGCGGCUCAACUGCAGGCUGGCGGUCGAUACGGGCGAGGCUGGAGUUCGGUAGGGGAGACUGGAAUUCCUGGUGUAGCGGUGAAAUGCGCAGAUAUCAGGAGGAACACCGGUGGCGAAGGCGGGUCUCUGGGCCGAUACUGACGCUGAGGAGCGAAAGCGUGGGGAGCGAACAGG